GCUAGGCAUGGCGGCUCAUGCCUGUAAUCCCAGCACUUUGGGAGGCCGAGGCAGGUGGAUCAUUUGAGGUCAGGAGUUCAAGAUCAGCCUGACCAACAUAAUGAAACCCUGUCUCUA
rnacentral:SRP_RNA from 1 species